GACCUCUGUCACGUACCUUCUCUCGGGAAGGCCUUAUAGGGGAGGUGUCAUGCAACCAGCCUGGACUGAGGUCCGCGCAUCUGCUAGGAUGCUGGCGUAAUGGCUGUAAGCGG
rnacentral:rRNA from 1 species